rnacentral:rRNA from 1 species
UACGGAGGGUGCGAGCGUUGUCCGGAAUCAUUGGGCGUAAAGGGCGCGUAGGUGGCCCGCUCAGCGUGCGGUGAAAGCUCGGGGCUCAACCCCGAGUCGGCCGUGCGAACUGGUGGGCUGGAGCACUGUAGAGGCAGCGCGAAUUCCGGGUGUAGCGGUGGAAUGCGUAGAGAUCCGGAAGAACACCGGUGGCGAAGGCGGCCUGCUGGGGCAGUUGCUGACACUGAGGCGCGACAGCGUGGGGAGCAAACAGG